rnacentral:rRNA from 1 species
AGAUUGAACGCUGGCGGCGUGCUUAACACAUGCAAGUCGAGCGGUAACGCGGGAGCAAUCCUGGCGACGAGCGGCGAACGGGUGAGUAAUGCUUGGGAAUCUGCCCAUUAGUGGGGAACAACCAGCCGAAAGGUUGGCUAAUACCGCAUACGCCCUACGGGGGAAAGCGGGGGAUCGAAAGACCUCGCGCUAAUGGAUGAGCCCAAGUCGGAUUAGCUUGUUGGUAGGGUAACGGCCUACCAAGGCGACAAUCCGUAGCUGGUCUGAGAGGACGACCAGCCACACUGGGACUGAGACACGGCCCAGACUCCUACGGGAGGCAGCAGUGGGGGAAUAUUGGACAAUGGGGGCAACCCUGAUCCAGCGACGCCGCGUGUGUGAAGAAGGCCUGCGGGUUGUAAAGCACUUUUAGUGGGGAUGAAAAGCUCAGGGUUAACACCUCUGGGUCUUGACCUAACCACAGAAAAAGCACCGGCUAACUCUGUGCCAGCAGCCGC